rnacentral:rRNA from 1 species
GACGAACGCUGGCGGCGUGCUUAACACAUGCAAGUCGAACGGAAAGGCCCUGCUUUUGUGGGGUGCUCGAGUGGCGAACGGGUGAGUAACACGUGAGUAACCUGCCCUUGACUUUGGGAUAACUUCAGGAAACUGGGGCUACUACCGGAUAGGAGCUCCUGCUGCAUGGUGGGGGUUGGAAUGUUUCGGCGGUUGGGGAUGGACUCGCGGCUUAUCAGCUUGUUGGUGGGGUAGUGGCUUACCAAGGCUUUGACGGGUAGCCGGCCUGAGAGGGUGACCGGCCACAUUGGGACUGAGAUACGGCCCAGACUCCUACGGGAGGCAGCAGUGGGGAAUAUUGCACAAUGGGCGGAAGCCGGAGGCAGCAACGCCGCGUGCGGGAUGACGGCCUUCGGGUUGUAAACCGCUUUCGCCUGUGACGAAGCGUGAGUGACGGUAAUGGGUAAAGAAGCACCGGCUAACUACGUG